rnacentral:rRNA from 1 species
UGGGGCCUCCUAAUAAUGCAAGUCGAGCGGACAGAUGGGAGCUUGCUCCCUGAUGUUAGCGGCGGACGGGUGAGUAACACGUGGGUAACCUGCCUGUAAGACUGGGAUAACUCCGGGAAACCGGGGCUAAUACCGGAUGGUUGUUUGAACCGCAUGGUUCAGACAUAAAAGGUGGCUUCGGCUACCACUUACAGAUGGACCCGCGGCGCAUUAGCUAGUUGGUGAGGUAACGGCUCACCAAGGCGACGAUGCGUAGCCGACCUGAGAGGGUGAUCGGCCACACUGGGACUGAGACACGGCCCAGACUCCUACGGGAGGCAGCAGUAGGGAAUCUUCCGCAAUGGACGAAAGUCUGACGGAGCAACGCCGCGUGAGUGAUGAAGGUUUUCGGAUCGUAAAGCUCUGUUGUUAGGGAAGAACAAGUGCCGUUCAAAUAGGGCGGCACCUUGACGGUACCUAACCAGAAAGCCACGGCUAACUACGUGCCAGCAGCCGCGGUAAUACGUAGGUGGCAAGCGUUGUCCGGAAUUAUUGGGCGUAAAGGGCUCGCAGGCGGUUUCUUAAGUCUGAUGUGAAAGCCCCCGGCUCAACCGGGGAGGGUCAUUGGAAACUGGGGAACUUGAGUGCAGAAGAGGAGAGUGGAAUUCCACGUGUAGCGGUGAAAUGCGUAGAGAUGUGGAGGAACACCAGUGGCGAAGGCGACUCUCUGGUCUGUAACUGACGCUGAGGAGCGAAAGCGUGGGGAGCGAACAGGAUUAGAUACCCUGGUAGUCCACGCCGUAAACGAUGAGUGCUAAGUGUUAGGGGGUUUCCGCCCCUUAGUGCUGCAGCUAACGCAUUAAGCACUCCGCCUGGGGAGUACGGUCGCAAGACUGAAACUCAAAGGAAUUGACGGGGGCCCGCACAAGCGGUGGAGCAUGUGGUUUAAUUCGAAGCAACGCGAAGAACCUUACCAGGUCUUGACAUCCUCUGACAAUCCUAGAGAUAGGAACGUCCCCUUCGGGGGCAAAGUGACAGGUGGUGCAUGGUU